GACGAACGCUGGCGGCGUGCUUAACACAUGCAAGUCGAACGGAAAGGCCCUGCUUUUGUGGGGUGCUCGAGUGGCGAACGGGUGAGUAACACGUGAGUAACCUGCCCUUGACUUUGGGAUAACUUCAGGAAACUGGGGCUAAUACCGGAUAGGAGCUCCUGCUGCAUGGUGGGGGUUGGAAAGUUUCGGCGGUUGGGGAUGGACUCGCGGCUUAUCAGCUUGUUGGUGGGGUAGUGGCUUACCAAGGCUUUGACGGGUAGCCGGCCUGAGAGGGUGACCGGCCACAUUGGGACUGAGAUACGGCCCAGACUCCUACGGGAGGCAGCGGUGGGGAAUAUUGCACAAUGGGCGGAAGCCUGAUGCAGCAACGCCGCGUGCGGGAUGACGGCCUUCGGGUUGUAAUCCGCUUUCGCCUGUGACGAAGCGUGAGUGACGGUAAUGGGUAAAGAAGCACCGGCUAACUACGUG
rnacentral:rRNA from 1 species